UGGCCUCCUGAGAAUCCGACAAGACGUAAAUAGCCAAGAAUAUCUGUGAAACUUCAUCACUGAGUUACAAUAUUUAUCACUGCAAGUGUGUUGUUCAUUGACACUAUAAAGCCAUGUGGAAUUAAGCAGCCUUGAAACACAAAAUGGAGAAAGGCUAAGAGCUGAGAAUUGUUGCCUUCAGGGAAAUACAAUCAAUGUCAAGCAAACAACCACCCCAAAAUGCCAGCCACCUCAAGAAAGAACAGUUCAUGUGCAGGUGACCAUGUAGUUCAAGUCAUCAUUAAAUCCAAAGCUGAGCAGCCGUGAUGCUAUUGGUGGAAUUGCCCUUGACCAAGAGAAAUCCAUCUUGAUUGUCUCAAUAAUCGGCUCAAGGACCACUGAUGAUGAGGUCCUAAAUUUAAUUCCUAAAAAACCACUAAAGUUAUAGAGGCAAAAUGAGAAAGCAUAGCUCACAAAUACCUUGUGACCAAUGACUUGCCUAUUCAACGUGAAAAAGAUGAGGAUGAAGACCUUUAUUAUGAUCCACUUCCAAGUAAUGAACACACUGGAGAAAGUCAGACAGUCAAAACAAUGUCCCAGACUCCGUGAAGUUCCUGGGUAGAGAAGGAGACAGACAUAUACCAUACCUAAUAAUUGGAUGUCCGAGAGAAUGAGAGAAUGGCAGAAAGAACUUUAGAGCAUGGGUAUGAUGGCUAGAGCUUGAGCAGCCAUUGUGGACAUCAGAUGAACUUGAAAGUGAAAACUAUGAGCUGAAUACGACAAAGCAAACAGAUAGAAAACUGGAUUCAUUAUGACAUUGCAAAGCUGCC
rnacentral:lncRNA from 10 species